UGCAGUGUUGUGGUACCUGCACCCAGCAGCCUUCUGGUGGGAUGUUCAAAAAGCAGUGCAGUAUUUGGCAUCCUUGGUUUUCAAUGUGCUGUGUCUGUUAAACCUGGUAUCUCCUGAAACAGUC